rnacentral:pre_miRNA from 1 species
UGAAGACCCUCAUCUCUCUCUCUCUCUCCCCACCAAACGAUGACUGAUUUCCUUUGGUGCUUAGAGUCCCAUCUGUCAUCUAGCACCAUUUGAAAUCGGUUAUAAUGACUGGGGAUCAAUUCUUCA